rnacentral:lncRNA from 1 species
UGUUAAUCGGGUUCACUUUAUUAUUAGAAAUUUGAUUAAAAUCUGAUCCCAUUUAUGCAGAAAUACAGAAAAUCUUAAAGCGUUCACAAACUUUCCCCUUACCACUGUAACUCUGCUGGCUAGGUUAAUUUACUAACUGUGUUAUAGAUACAGAGGUGGAGGCAUCAGAGUCAAACUACUUGGAACUUGUCCAAACUUUUCUAGAUGACCCAAAAAAGAGGGAACACUUCCAGGUUGGUGUGAGAACUAUUUCUAAAACAGACAUUUAAAUCAAGGAGGUAAACUAAACCGCAGUGCAUGCGCAGUCUAUUCCACUGAAAUCCUUGUUACUGGCUUACUCAGUACUGCUGAACCUCAACUUGUAUGCAUUACAGAGGAAACGUGCCAUAACGACAGCGGGUGAUUGCUUCAGACCAAAACACCAGUUGUAAUUUGAUGUUCAGUCUUCUAGGAUGUUUUUCAGAGGAAUCCGGCCCCAUGUUUGACACAUCCCUGAUGUGGGAGUUCCUCUCCAGACUGGAAAAGCUGCUUCCAACUCCAACAUUUCAACAGACUGCAUCCUGGCUCAGACCUGCCCCCUCUAUGCUGAAGGAGUGUGCACAGUCUGUGACUCAACCUCAGCCUUUGAAGAUUCUCCUCCAACACCACAGAUGCCAUAGCCAUUUGUUUGCUAAUGGUAGGCUUUUGUGGCAAAUAAUCAUAGUUGCAUACCACCUGCUAGAGACUCACACGUCAACCACUGUUGAAAAGCUCCCACUAAUCAAUGACACUUGUUAUACCGGCUGCAGACAACAUGUGUCUGGAAGACUGAUGGAGUGGUUUUGAUCUGUAAGACAUGCCUCUGUUAAUGUUAGCAGUCAAACAAUUACCACAAUGGACAAUUAUGUUUUUGUUUUGAAAAGACCAAUAUUGGGCCUCCCGAGUGGUGCAGCGAUCUAAGGCACUGCCUCACAGCGCUAGAAGCAUCACUACAGACCCGGGUUCGAUCCCAGGCUUUAGCACAACCAGCCGUGAUCGGGAGUCACAUAGGGCGGCGCACAAUUGGCCCAGCAUUGGCCCAGCUUCGUCCAUGUUAGGUGACGGUUUGGCCGGGAGUGCUUUACUUGGCUUAUCGUGCUCUAGCGACUCCUUGUGGCAGGCCGGGCACCU